rnacentral:ncRNA from 1 species
CUAGAAAGUUUUGGUCCAGGAUGAAGUUUGGAUGAAACUAAGCAAAGGUCCGAACCGACUGAUGUUCAAGAAUCAGUGGAUGAGUUGUGGUUAGGGGUGAAAUGCCACUCGAACCCAGAGCUAGCUGG